rnacentral:rRNA from 1 species
CCUACGGGAGGCUGCAGUGGGGAAUAUUGCGCAAUGGGCGAAAGCCUGACGCAGCGACGCCGCGUGAGGGAUGAAGGUCUUCGGAUCGUAAAACGCUGUCAGUAGGGAAGAACGGUCACUGUGCUAAUCAGCAGUGAAUUGACGGUACCUGCAAAGGAAGCACCGGCUAACUCCGUGCCAGCAGCCGCGGUAAUACGGAGGGUGCGAGCGUUAAUCGGAAUUACUGGGCGUAACGCGCUCGUAGGCGGUAUGUCAAGUCAAGGGUGAAAUCCCCGCGCGCAACGUGGGAACUGCCUUUGAAACUGGCAAACUGGAGUGUGUGAGAGGCUAGUGGAAUUCCCGUUGUAGGCGU